rnacentral:rRNA from 1 species
UGUGUAGGCGGCUACGCAAGUCGGAUGUGAAAUCCCCGGGCUCAACCCGGGAAGUGCACCCGAAACUGCGUGGCUUGAGUACCGGAGAGGUUGGUGGAAUUCUCGGUGUAGAGGUGGAAUUCGUAGAUAUCGAGAGGAACACCGGUGGCGAAGGCGGCCAACUGGACGCGUACUGACGCUGAGACACGAAAGCGUGGGGAGCAAACAGGAUUAGAUACCCUGGUAGUCCACGCCGUAAACGAUGGGUGCUAGGUGUCACGGGCUUUGACUCCUGUGGUGCCGUAGCCAACGCAUUAAGCACCCCGCCUGGGAAGUACGGCCGCAAGGCUAAA